UACGGAGGGUGCAAGCGUUAUCCGGAUUCACUGGGUUAAGGUGCGUAGGUGGCAGGUAAGUCAGUGGUGAAUCUCCGGCUUAACUCGGAAACUGCCAUUGAUACUAUCUUUCUUGAAUACCGUGGAGGUCAGCGGAAUAUGUCAGUGUAGCGGUGAAAUGCUUAGAUAUGACAUAGAACACCAAUUGCGAAGCAGCUGGCUAAGCAGAAU
rnacentral:rRNA from 1 species